UACGUAGGGUGCGAGCGUUGUCCGGAAUUACUGGGCGUAAAGAGCGCGCAGGUGGUUGAUUAAGUCUGAUGUGAAAGCCCACGGCUUAACCGUGGAGGGUCAUUGGAAACUGGUCGACUUGAGUGCAGAAGAGGGAAGUGGAAUUCCAUGUGUAGCGGUGAAAUGCGUAGAGAUAUGGAGGAACACCAGUGGCGAAGGCGGCUUCCUGGUCUGUAACUGACACUGAGGCGCGAAAGCGUGGGGAGCAAACAGGAUUAGAUACCCCCGUA
rnacentral:rRNA from 1 species